rnacentral:rRNA from 1 species
AUUGAACGCUGGCGGCAGGCCUAACACAUGCAAGUCGAGCGGAUGAAGGGAGCUUGCUCCUGGAUUCAGCGGCGGACGGGUGAGUAAUGCCUAGGAAUCUGCCUGGUAGUGGGGGAUAACGUCCGGAAACGGGGCCAAUUACGCAAAUCCCCCUUAGGAGGAAAGGGGGGAACCUGGGAACCUUCGGCCUUAGCACAACCCUAGGUCGGAUUAGCUAGUUGGUGGGGUAAAGGCCUACCAAGGCGACGAUCCGUAACUGGUCUGAGAGGAUGAUCAGUCACACUGGAACUGAGACACGGUCCAGACUCCUACGGGAGGCAGCAGUGGGGAAUAUUGGACAAUGGGCGAAAGCCUGAUCCAGCCAUGCCGCGUGUGUGAAGAAGGUCUUCGGAUUGUAAAGCACUUUAAGUUGGGAGGAAGGGCAGUAAGUUAAUACCUUGCUGUUUUGACGUUACCAACAGAAUAAGCACCGGCUAACUUCGUG